CCUGCCCCUAAGUGGUGGGAUACCAUUGGGAAACAGGUGCUUAUACCCGGAUAAUAAACCAGAUCGCAUGAUCAGCUUUUGAAAGGCGGCGUAACCUGUCGGUAAGGGAUGGCCCCGCGGUGCAUUAGCUAGUUGGGUAAGGUAACGGCUUACCAAGGCGACGAUGCAUAGCCGAGUGGAGAGACUGAUCGGCCACAUUGGGACUGAGACACGGCCCAAACUCCUACGGGAGGCAGCAGUAGGGAAUCUUCCACAAUGGAGGAAACUCUGAUGCAGCGACACUGCGUGAAGGAUGAAGGUUCUAGGAUCGUAAACUUCUUUUAUCAGGGAGUAAUCUUGAAAGUACCUGAUGAAUAAGGACCGGCUAACUACGUGCCAGCAGCCGCGGUAAUACGUAGGGUCCGAACGUUAUCCGGAAUUAUUGGGCGUAAAGAGUUCGUAGGUGGCAAGAAAAGUCGGGCAUUAAAGCCCUCGGCUCAACCGAGGAAUCGUAUCCGAAACUUUCUAGCUAGAGGUUCGCAGAGGCAGAUGGAAUUCAUGGUGUAGCAGUGGAAUGCGUAGAUAUCAUGAAGAACACCAAUGGCGAAGGCAGUCUGCUGGGCAACACCUGACACUGAGGAACGAAAGCGUGGGUAGCGAACGGGAUUAGAUACCCCGGUAGUCCACGCCGUAAACGAUGCACACUA
rnacentral:rRNA from 1 species